rnacentral:misc_RNA from 1 species
AGCAGCCGCGGUAAUUCCAGCUCCAAUAGCGUAUAUUAAAGUUGCUGCAGUUAAAAAGCUCGUAGUUGAAUUUCGGGAUCAAUAUGUUGGUCGUGCCUCGGUACGUACUAGCUUAUUGGUUUCUUCCUUCUGACGAACCAUAAUGUCAUUUAUUUGGUGUUAUGGGGAAUCAGGACUGUUACUUUGAAAAAAUUAGAGUGUUUAAAGCAGGCUCACGCUUGAAUACAUUAGCAUGGAAUAAUGAAAUAGGACGUUUGAUUCUAUUUUGUUGGUUUCUAGGAUCGACGUAAUGAUUAAUAGGGAUAGUUGGGGGCAUUAGUAUUCAGUUGUCAGAGGUGAAAUUCUUGGAUUUAUUGAAGACUAACUACUGCGAAAGCAUUUGCCAAGGAUGUUUUCAUUAAUCAAGAACGAAAGUUAGGGGAUCGAAGACGAUCAGAUACCGUCGUAGUCUUAACCAUAAACUAUGCCGACUAGGGAUCGGAUGAUGUUAAUUUUUUAAUGACUCAUUCGGCGCCUUACG